AAGCCUAACGGAACAAUACCGCGUGAGGGAGGAAGGCUCUUGGGUUGUAAACCUCUUUUGCUUUGGAAGAAUACUGACGGUACCAAGCGAAUAAACAUCGGCUAAAUCCGUGCCAGCAGCCGCGGUAAUACGGAGGAUGCAAACGUUAUCCGCCAUUAUUGGCCGUAAAGCGUCCGCAGGUGGCACUUCAAGUCUGCUGUCAAAGACCGGAGCUUAACUCCGGAAAGGCAGUGGAAACUGGAGAGAUAGAGUAUGGUAGGGCUAGAGGGAAUUCCCAGUGUAGCGGUGAAAUGCGUAAAGAUUGGGAAGAACAUUUGUGGCGAAAGCGCU
rnacentral:rRNA from 1 species